rnacentral:snRNA from 1 species
GGAUGUGAGGGUGAUCUGGCUGCCACAUCUGUUACCCCACUGAUCGCCAGGGUUGAUUCAGCUGAUCUGGCUGGCUAGGCGGGUGUCCCAUUCCUCCCUCACCGCUCCACGUGCGUCCCUCCGGAAGCUGUGCACUUGGUCGAAGAGGAUGGCCUUCCCCAAAUAGAGACAGACGGGUCUUCUGUCGAGGGUAUAUGAGUAGCUGUGCUCCCCUGCUACAAUCUCCAAACAAGCUCUCAGAAACAUCACAAUUUAUGUGAUGACUAGGAACAGCAUAAUAUAAUCAUUUCAGGUUCUGUUGUGAUUUGUACCACCCUGUCCAU